GUAGGGAAUUUUCGUCAAUGGGGGCAACCCUGAACGAGCAAUGCCGCGUGAGCGAAGAAGGUCUUCGGAUUGUAAAGCUCUGUUGCCGGGGAAAAAGGAAGGAAAGAGGAAAUGCUUUUCUUUGGAUGGUACCCGGCCAGAAAGUCACGGCUAACUACGUGCCAGCAGCCGCGGUAAUACGUAGGUGGCAAGCGUUAUCCGGAAUGAUUGGGCGUAAAGGGUGAGCAGGCGGUUCUUCAAGUCAUGAGUGAAAGGCAGAAGCUUAACUUCUGUUGGCUGAUGAGACUGGAGAACUUGAGUACAGGAGAGGGCGGCGGAACUCCAUGUGUAGCGGUAAAAUGCGUAGAGAUAUGGAAGAACACCAGUGGCGAAGGCGGCCGCCUGGACUGAAACUGACGCUCAGGCACGAAAGCGUGGGGAGCAAAUAGGAUUAGAAACCCUAGUAGUCC
rnacentral:rRNA from 1 species